rnacentral:rRNA from 1 species
GAUGAACGCUAGCUACAGGCUUAACACAUGCAAGUCGAGGGGCAGCACAGUGUAGCAAUACACGGGUGGCGACCGGCGCACGGGUGCGUAACGCGUAUCCAACCUUCCCGAUACUCAGGGAUAGCCUUCCGAAAGGGAGAUUAAUACCUGAUGGUGUUCAAAUUCCGCAUGUUAUUUGAACUCAAGAUUUAUCGGUAUCGGAUGGGGAUGCGUGACAUUAGAUAGUAGGCGGGGUAACGGCCCACCUAGUCUACGAUCCCUAGGGGUUCUGAGAGGAGGGUCCCCCACACUGGAACUGGGUCACGGUCCAGACUCCGACGGGAGGCAGCAGUGAGGAAUAUUGAGCAAUGGUCGGAAGCCUGUACCAGCCAAGUAGCGGGAAGGAGUAAGGUUCUAUGGAUUGUAAACUUCUUUUUUACGGGAAUAAAGCCCACUACCUGUAGUGGUUUGUAUGUACCGUAUGAAUAAGCAUCGGCUAACUCGGUGCCAUCAGCCGCCGUAACAC